rnacentral:rRNA from 1 species
AGUGAACGCUGGCGGCAGGCCUAACACAUGCAAGUCGAACGGCAGCACAGUGGAGCUUGCUCCAUAGGUGGCGAGUGGCGGACGGGUGAGGAAUACAUCGGAAUCUGCCCAGUCGUGGGGGAUAACAUAGGGAAACUUAUGCUAAUACCGCAUACGACCUACGGGUGAAAUCGGGGGAUCGCAAGACCUCGCGCGAUUGGAUGAGCCGAUGUCCGAUUAGCUAGUUGGCGGGGUAAUGGCCCACCAAGGCGACGAUAGGUAGCUGGUCUGAGAGGAUGAUAAGCCACACUGGAACUGAGACACGGUCCAGACUCCUACGGGAGGCAGCAGUGGGGAAUAUUGGACAAUGGGCGCAAGCCUGAUCCAGCCAUGCCGCGUGGGUGAAGAAGGCCUUCGGGUUGUAAAGCCCUUUUGUCCGGAAAGAAAAGCCUCGGAUUAAUACCCUGGGGUGAUGACGGUACCGGAAGAAUAAGCACCGGCUAACUUCGUGCCAGCAGCCGCCGUAAGAC